GCAGACACAUUCCAGCCAAUCAGCAGCAGACCCUCACUCCCAGCCCCUCCCACUUCAUGGACAGCAUCCAUUUUACAUUCAUUGUGAAGCUGCAUUCUUAGUGAGCUGUCCAGGAGGUGGGAGGGUCUGGGAGGGAGGGUCUGCUGCUGAUUGGCUGGAAUGUGUCUG
rnacentral:miRNA from 1 species